UGAGGAAUAUUGGUCAAUGGGCGAGAGCCUGAACCAGCCAAGUAGCGUGCAGGAUGACGGCCCUAUGGGUUGUAAACUGCUUUUAUGUGGGGAUAAAGUGCGUGACGUGUCAUGCAUUGCAGGUUCCACAUGAAUAAGGACCGGCUAAUUCCGUCCCAGCAGCCGCGGUAAUACGGAAGGUCCGGGCGUUAUCCGGAUUUAUUGGGUUUAAAGGGAGCGUAGGCUGUCUAUUAAGCGUGUUGUGAAAUAUACCGGCUCAACCGGUGGCUUGCAGCGCGAACUGGUCGACUUGAGUAUGCAGGAAGUAGGCGGAAUUCAUGGUGUAGCGGUGAAAUGCUUAGAUAUCAUGACGAACUCCGAUUGCGCAGGCAGCUUACUGUAGCAUAACUGACGCUGAUGCUCGAAAGUGCGGGUAUCAAACAGG
rnacentral:rRNA from 1 species